CGGCGACGCGGGAGAGGCGGUCCGGCGACGAUGGUCCACGUCAGCUUCUACCGCAACUAUGGUAAGACAUUCAAGAAGCCACGUCGCCCUUACGAGAAGGAGCGUCUUGAUGCAGAGCUGAAGCUAGUGGGUGAGUAUGGACUGAGGUGCAAGCGUGAGCUGUGGCGUGUUCAGUAUGCUUUGAGCCGUAUCCGUAACAAUGCAAGGCAUCUGCUCACACUUGAUGAGAAGAAUCCACGCCGCAUCUUUGAGGGUGAGGCACUGCUUCGCCGCAUGAACCGUUAUGGGCUCCUUGCUGAUGGGCAGAACAAGCUUGAUUAUGUCCUUG
rnacentral:misc_RNA from 1 species